ACCCCUUUCUUACCCCGUGCCCUUUCCCUUCUUGCAUCUCCAUCGCCACCACUUCCUUUAGCCGAUGUUGAGCCCUCGCCGACCUCCCCGACCAGUCAUUCCUCCCUGGAUGACCACUCCAAUCGUGAGACGUCAUUGCCAGUCGUCACCCUCUUCCAUCGUGGGAUGCCGAUCGCCCUCGUUCGCCGCCAACCCCCACAGUCGACACCGGUCAUCGUGAGCUCCGACCGCGAGACGCUGGUGUCGUCGGUUGCCGCCCUAUUCUGAUCCUAUUGCCUCUCAUCCUCUUUCAGGUGAGUCCAGGAUAGUGACUUCACCAGCCGUGUGAGAGUUGUCGACUCGCUGAUGCUCUUCCUUUUCCGAGCUUUCUUUCUCCUCCACUGAUUACUGAGUUCGUUUGAUAGUUGAUCAUCUCCCUGAGUUGUUGUUCUUGUGAGGUUGGAUCUGCGAUCUUAGCCCUAGACUCAAUCUUCUACAACCGUACCUCUCCACAUCGUGGCUCCGAUCACCAGAUUUUGGUUCCCCUUCGUCACCGGUAUAGAUCGGCUGUCAAUCCUUAGAGUUAGGCGUACUGCCGACAUAGAAUUAGAGUGAGGUAUGGUUUGUAUCAUAUUUGUAGCAAUUUAAUUUCCAUUUUUGUAUAGAGAUUUGCACUUGGCUGGCCAUUGUAGCUUCGGUCAGUCCUAUUUGCCGACGAUCCACAGUUCUGGCGUUCCAAUUCUGGCAGUAAACCCCUCUGGCCGUGUUCCACCAGUGGGUACCUUAGAUUUGGCUGAGUUUUUGGAGUAAGCCAUGGUGUAAACCCUAAUUUAAUUAGGUUAUGGUACGAUGAAGGUAAAUUGUUGGAUUAAACCUAAUCUAGUCAAUAAGGAGGGUUAAUUAGAGUUGAUAAUAGGGUUAAAUCUAAUUUGAUCAAUGAAUUAGAUUAGUUGGAGUUGAUCAUUAAUUAUUUAAUUAAUGGUUGAGAAAUCAAUGGAUUUGAUUAAUUGAAGUUAAUUAAUGGUUAGGGUUAAAGAUAUUAUCGAUUAGGGAUUUCCUAAUUGGAUUUGAGUUUUAGUUUAGCUAGUUGAUACAUGAUGGGAUUUGCUAAAUUGUAUUUCUUAUUUCAGGACUUUGAUUUGAGACGAACGUCUCGACGUGGGAUUGUUUCAAUACGAAUUACUAAUAAAGAUAGUUGAGAGAGUCGAUAACCAAGGUCGCACGCUCGGCCACUCAAGAGAGUGGUAGCUGGAGCAGAUGUCGCUUGUCCUGUCGUGCCGCACUCGGCCACUCAUGGGUAGUGGUAGCUGGAGUUGCGAGCAGCAGGGACCCCCUUCACUUUGUAGCUAGUUGGCUACUCAGUACCUGUCCACUCGGUUACUCAAGUGUUAGCUAGAGCCCUAGAGCCAAUCAUUUGAUGAUUGUAUUAUGGACUUAUUGUAUCAUAUUCUUAUAUUAAUAAAGGCAUUUGUUUUGUUAUUA